AUGCUAUCUUUUGUGGAACAAUUGGGGAAUGGAAUUUUCUUGGUGCAAAGGUCUUUGAGAAAGUUAGUUCCACUUGCUUUUCACAAAAUUGCCUUAUUACCCUACAAUUCUAAAUUGUUUCAAUCAUUAUUAUUUCAGUUUUCCACAGUUUCCAUAUUCCAGGAGUUCAAGAUGAAGUUAAGAAUGAAUGCAAGAAUGAAGGCAAGGAAUCUAGGGAUCUCCUGGAGAGCAGAAGAGCAGAUUCAUGUCAGACUAAGUCUUUCAUUCAUGUUCAAAUGAUGUAGUUCAACUCAUAUGGAGUCCAAAGAGUGGGCAGAAAUUGGUGAGUCUGUUCCUUAUCCACAAAGGGAAGGGCUCUCUCUUCAGAUAUCUGGGGCACCCCGUAUGGACGUAUCUCUUCAAUAGUGAUCUCCUUACUUGCUUCCUAUUUCUCCUUCCACACAGUCACUUGGUCUUUUGACCUCUUCCCUUUCUUCAAAGGUCUUGCCUCCUUGUGUGCUUUGGGAUUUCACCUGCUGGAGAGGACAGGGGGAUCUUCAGGUCCUGUGUGUAGAGGAGUAUGAAAGGAAAGACAUAGGAGGCCUGGUCUCCGGAUGAAGUAUCUCAAAACAAUCAGACACAAGUUUCCUUAUCAGCCGGGGGAUUAAAUUAUAAAAAAAAAAAAAAAUCUUAUUGUUAGCUGGGUCCUGGAAGGUGCCAAAAUGGAAAAUGGAAAAAUGUGAGAGGAGAAACGUUUGUUCAGCUUUGUGCAUUAUUCUGUUGAGGAGGUUAAUCUAUCAAUUUUAUGAAAGUUUCCAAGGAAUAUAUGUAAUAAAAGGACUUAACAGUCUCUGCUUAAAUGAAAA
rnacentral:lncRNA from 1 species